rnacentral:rRNA from 1 species
AAUACGCGGUCAACCUACCUUGGGGACCGGGAUAACCUCGGGAAACUUAGGCUAAUCCCGGAUAGGUGUGGGGUGCUGAAAUGCCCUCACGCCGAAAGUAGGCGGGAAAUGGACCGCUGAGGCCCCAGGAUGGGACCGCGGCCUAUCAGGUAGUAGGUGGGGUAACGGCCCACCUAGCCUACGACGGGUACGGGCCCUGAGAGGGGGAGCCCGGAGAUGGGCACUGAGACAAGGGUCUAGGCCCUAAGGGGCGCAGCAGGCGCGAAGAUUCCGCAAUGCCCGAAAGGGCGACGGAGUGAACCCGAGUGCCACCCGCUGAGGGUGGCUGUUCCCCUGUGUAAAAAGCAGGGGGCAGGAAGGGGAGGGCAAGGCUGGUGGCAGCCGCCGCGGUAAAACCAGCUCCCCGAGGGGUUCCCACGCAUACUGGGCCUAAAGCGUCCGUAGCCGGCCCUGUAAGUCUGCAGUUAAAUCCGCCUGUAGACAGGCGGGUUGCUGCAGAUACUGCAGGGCUAGGGAGCGGGAGGAGCCGGGGGUAUUCCCGGGGGAGCGGUAAAAUGCGUAGAUCCCGGGAGGACCACCAGUGGCGAAGGCGCCCGGCUUGAACGCGUCCGACGGUGAGGGACGAAAGC